UGCCAGACUCCUACGGGAGGCAGCAGUGGGGAAUAUUGCGCAAUGGGCGAAAGCCUGACGCAGCGACGCCGCGUGAGGGAUGAAGGUCUUCGGAUCGUAAACCUCUGUCAGCAGGGAAGAACGGUCACUGUGCUAAUCAGCAGUGAAUUGACGGUACCUGCAAAGGAAGCACCGGCUAACUCCGUGCCAGCAGCCGCGGUAAUACGGAAGGUCCGGGCGUUAUCCGGAUUUAUUGGGUUUAAAGGGUGCGUAGGCGGACGCUUAAGUCAGCGGUAAAAUUGCGGGGCUCAACCUCGUCGAGCCGUUGAAACUGGGUGCCUUGAGUGGGCGAGAAGUACGCGGAAUGCGUGGUGUAGCGGUGAAAUGCAUAGAUAUCACGCAGAACUCCGAUUGCGAAGGCAGCGUACCGGCGCCCAACUGACGCUGAAGCACGAAGGCGUGGGUAUCGAACAGGAUUAGAUACCCGAGUA
rnacentral:rRNA from 1 species